UCAACCGUAACGACAUUCGAUAGUCCAAAAUAGUCUACACACUACUGUAAAAAAAACUCGGUAUUCCAGCACGAGCGUAAAUUCAUCCUACACUACUCUGAGUAUCCACCGCGUACAAACUGCGGCAAUACAAACAAACUACAGCUCCUAAAGCUAAAUCUGGUAGUUUUCAGAAAAUGACAGUAGGGUUAAUAAUUUUUUCCUAAGUAAAUUCGAAGUCCAACAUAUAUAAUUCAUCUAAAACACUAAUUAUGCUCCAAAUUCAGAUUUCAAAGAACAUGCAAAUCAACGAAUUCGAGCUAUUAAACAUG
rnacentral:lncRNA from 1 species